UACGUAGGGUGCAAGCGUUGUCCGGAAUUAUUGGGCGUAAAGGGCGCGUAGGCGGUUUGGCAAGUUUGGUGUGAAAUCUUCGGGCUCAACUCGAAGUCUGCAUCGAAAACUGCCGGGCUUGAGUAUGGGAGAGGUGAGUGGAAUUUCCGGUGUAGCGGUGAAAUGCGUAGAUAUCGGAAGGAACACCUGUGGCGAAAGCGGCUCACUGGACCAUUACUGACGCUGAGGCGCGAAAGCUAGGGGAGCAAACAGG
rnacentral:rRNA from 1 species